rnacentral:rRNA from 1 species
AUGCGUCUGAUUAGCUUGUUGGCGGGUAACGGCCCACCAAGGCGACGAUCAGUAGGGGUUCCUGAGAGGAAGGUCCCCCCACAUUGGAACUGAGACACGGUCCAAACUCCUACGGGAGGCAGCAGUGAGGAAUAUUGGGUCAAUGGGCGAGAGCCUGAACCAGCCAAGUAGCGUGCAGGAUGACGGCCCUAUGGGUUGUAAACUGCUUUUAUGCGGGGAUAAAGUGCGUGACGUGUCUCGCAUUGCAGGUACCGCGUGAAUAAGGACCGGCUAAUUCCGUGCCAGCAGCCGCGGUAAU